rnacentral:tRNA from 1 species
GGCAGGAUGGCCGAGUGGUAUGAGGUGCUGGUUUACGGGCACCAGUCACUUCGGUGGCGUGGGUUCAAGUCCCACUCCUGUCA